rnacentral:pre_miRNA from 1 species
UGUUAAAGAAUUAAUUCAUUUCUACUAUUAAAAAUUAGCAUGACUAACAGAAUAACUAAACAGUGAUCGUGAUGUGCCACAGCCCACAUGUACCGUAAUGCUAAAGUACAUGAACCAAUUUUUAAUAGUAAAAAUUGAUAAAAAUUUUAACA